AUUGAACGCUGGCGGCAUGCCUUACACAUGCAAGUCGAACGGUAACAGGUCUUCGGAUGCUGACGAGUGGCGAACGGGUGAGUAAUACAUCGGAACGUGCCCGAUCGUGGGGGAUAACGAAGCGAAAGCUUUGCUAAUACCGCAUACGAUCUACGGAUGAAAGCAGGGGACCGCAAGGCCUUGCGCGAACGGAGCGGCCGAUGGCAGAUUAGGUAGUUGGUGGGAUAAAAGCUUACCAAGCCGACGAUCUGUAGCUGGUCUGAGAGGACGACCAGCCAGACUGGGACUGAGACACGGCCCAGACUCCUACGGGAGGCAGCAGGGGGGAACUUUGGACAAUGGGCGAAAGCCUGAUCCAGCCAUGCCGCGUGCAGGAUGAAGGCCUUCGGGUUGUAAACUGCUUUUGUACGGAACGAAAAGACUCUGGUUAAUACCUGGGGUCCAUGACGGUACCGUAAGAAUAAGCACCGGCUAACUACGUGCCAGCCGCCGCGGUAAAAC
rnacentral:rRNA from 1 species